GAGGAAACAACUUCGCAAAUCCAAAAAACAAUUGACAGCAACCAUAAGCAGGGAGAGACAGAGAUCGUCUGAAAGAUGCCUAGAAUUAGAUGCAACGCCAAUUUGAGCAUACCCCUGGUGACAGAUUCAGACCAAGAGGAUC
rnacentral:ribozyme from 1 species